AGCGAACGCUGGCGGCAGGCUUGACACAUGCAAGUCGAGCGGGCGUAGCAAUACGUCAGCGGCAGACGGGUGAGUAACGCGUGGGAACGUACCUUUUGGUUCGGAACAACACAGGGAGACUUGUGCUAAUACCGGAUAAGCCCUUACGGGGAAAGAUUUAUCGCCGAAAGAUCGGCCCGCGUCUGAUUAGCUAGUUGGUGAGGUAAUGGCUCACCAAGGCGACGAUCAGUAGCUGGUCUGAGAGGAUGAUCAGCCACAUUGGGACUGAGACACGGCCCAAACUCCUACGGGAGGCAGCAGUGGGGAAUAUUGGACAAUGGGCGCAAGCCUGAUCCAGCCAUGCCGCGUGAGUGAUGAAGGCCCUAGGGUUGUAAAGCUCUUUUGUGCGGGAAGAUAAUGACGGUACCGCAAGAAUAAGCCCCGGCUAACUACGUGCCAGCCGCCGCGGUAAAAC
rnacentral:rRNA from 1 species